AGUGAACGCUGGCGGUAGGCCUAACACAUGCAAGUCGAACGGCAGCACAGUAAGAGCUUGCUCUUACGGGUGGCGAGUGGCGUACGGGUGAGGAAUACAUCGGAAUCUACUUUUUCGGGGGGGAUAACGUAGGGAAACUUAAGCUAAUACCGCAUACGACCUACGGGUGAAAGCAGGGGAUCUUCGGACCUUGCGCGAUUGAAUGAGCCGAUGUCGGAUUAGCUAGUUGGCGGGGUAAAGGCCCACCAAGGCGACGAUCCGUAGCUGGUCUGAGAGGAUGAUCAGCCACACUGGAACUGAGACACGGUCCAUACUCCUACGGGAGGCAGCAGUGGGGAAUAGUGGACAAUGGGCGCAAGCCUGAUCCAGCCAGACCGCGUGGGUGAAGAAGGCCUUCGGGUUGUAAAGCCCUUUUGUUGGGAAAGAAAAGCAGCAGGUUAAUACCCCGCUGUUCUGACGGUACCCAAAGAAUAAGCACCGGCUAACUUCGUG
rnacentral:rRNA from 1 species